GGAUGUGAGAGUGAUCCGGAUGCGACAUCUGUCACCCCAUUGAUUGCCAAGGUUGAUUUGGCUGAUCUGGCUGGCUUAGGCAGGUGUCCCCUUCCUCCAACACCACUCCAUGUGUGUCCCUCCUAAAGCUGUGCACUCGGUCAAAGAGGACAACCUUCCUGGAAUAGAGGAGGACCGGUCUUCGGUCAAGGAUAUGCGAGUAGCUGCGCUCCCCGGCUAGAACCUCCAAGCAAGCUCUCAAGAAUUGAACUCAGUCCUCUGGAAGAGCAGUCAGUGAUAUUUAACCCCUGAGCCAUCUCUC
rfam:Mesocricetus auratus contig115447, whole genome shotgun sequence.